rnacentral:rRNA from 1 species
GACAGAGGGUGCAAACGUUGUUCGGAAUUACUGGGCGUAAAGCGAGUGUAGGCGGUUUGGUAAGUCGGAUGUGAAAGCCCCCGGGCUCAACCCGGGAAGUGCACUCGAUACUGCCAAGCUAGAGUAUCGGAGAGGUUGGUGGAAUUCUCGGUGUAGAGGUGAAAUUCGUAGAUAUCGAGAGGAACACCGGUGGCGAAGGCGGCCAACUGGACGAAUACUGACGCUGAGACUCGAAAGCGUGGGGGAGCAAACAGG